CUGAUCGUACUGGUGUGAUCCGUUCGCAAAUCUGACGGACGGAUCUAUAGAGAUCGCGCGUUGAGCGAGGAGAGGUCGGCGAUGGCAAAACGGUAAUUUCGCAAAAGUCGCGACAUUUUAUGUACCGUUUCGCGGGAAAUCGCACGUAGAGGUGCGUUUGCGCAUAUUACUCUUGCUGUAAGGGAUUCAAUAUAAAAUGUUGAGUUUUUGAGGGG
rnacentral:lncRNA from 1 species